rnacentral:rRNA from 1 species
UACCUUGGGUGCGAGCGUUAAUCGGAAUUACUGGGCGUAAAGCGUGCGCAGGUGGUUUGUUAAGUCAGAUGUGAAAGCCCCGAGCUUAACUUGGGAACUGCGUUUGAGACUGGCAAGCUAGAGUCUGUCAGAGGGGGGUAGAACUCCACGUGUAGCAGUGAAAUGCGUAGAGAUGUGGAGGAAUACCAAUGGCGAAGGCAGCCCCCUGGGAUAAGACUGACGCUCAUGCACGAAAGCGUGGGGAGCGAACAGGAUUAGAUACCCUGGUAGUCCACGCCCUAAACGAUGUCAACUGGUUGUUGGGCAACUUGAUUGUUCAGUAACGAAGCUAACGCGAGAAGUUGACCGCCUGGGGAGUACGGUCGCAAGAUUAAAACUCAAAGGAAUUGACGGGGACCCGCACAAGCGGUGGAUGAUGUGGAUUAAUUCGAUGCAACGCGAAAAACCUUACCUACCCUUGACAUGUACGGAAGUCUGCUGAGAGGUGGAUGUGCCUGAAAGGGAACCGUAACACAGGUGCUGCAUGGCUGUCGUCAGCUCGUGUCGUGAGAUGUUGGGUUAAGUCCCGCAACGAGCGCAACCCUUGCUAUUAAUUGCCAUCAUUAAGUUGGGCACUUUAAUAGGACUGCUGGUGAUAAACCGGAGGAAGGUGGGGAUGACGUCAAGUCCUCAUGGCCCUUAUGGGUAGGGCUUCACACGUCAUACAAUGGCCGGUACAGAGGGAUGCCAACCCGCGAGGGGGAGCCAAUCUCAGAAAGCCGGUCGUAGUCCGGAUUGUUUUCUGCAACUCGAGAGCAUGAAGUCGGAAUCGCUAGUAAUCGCGGAUCAGCAUGUCGCGGUGAAUACGUUCCCGGGUCU